UCGCACCUACCGAUUGAAUGGUCCGGUGAAGCCUCGGGAUUGUGGCCAGUGCCUUCAUUGGUGUUGGACGCAAGAACUUGUCUAAACCUUAUCAUUUAGAGGAAGUAA
rnacentral:rRNA from 1 species